rnacentral:misc_RNA from 1 species
GAUGAAGAACGUAGUGAAAUGCGAUAAGUAAUGCGAAUUGCAGAAUUUCCGUGAGUCAUCGAAUCUUUGAACGCACAUUGCGCCCACUGGUAUUCCGGGGGGCAUGCCUGUCCGAGCGUCAUUGCUGCCCUCAAGCACGGCUUGUGUGUUGGGCCCCGUCCUCCGAUUCCGGGGGACGGGCCCGAAAGGCAGCGGCGGCACCGCGUCCGGUCCUCGAGCGUAUGGGGCUUUGUCACCCGCUCUGUAGGCCCGGCCGGCGCUUGCCGAUCAACCCAAAUUUUUAUCCAGGUUGACCUCGGAUCAGGUAGGGAUACCCGCUGAACUUAAGCAUAUCAAUAAGCGGAGGA